GAAAUGCGAUAAGUAAUGUGAAUUGCAGAAUUCAGUGAAUCAUCGAAUCUUUGAACGCACCUUGCGCCCCUUGGCUAUUCCGAGGGGCAUGCCUGUUUGAGUAUCAUGAACACCUCAACUCUCAUGGUUUGCCAUGACGAGCUUGGACUUUGGAGGUUUUGCCGGCCUGCAGUCGGCUCCUCUCAAAUGAAUCAGCUUGCCAGUGUUUGGCGGCAUCACGGGUGUGAUAACUAUCUACGCUUGUGGUUGCCUGCUAGGUAACCUCCGGUGACGGAGGUUUGCUGGAGCUCAUAAACGUCUCUCCUCUGUGAAGACAGCUUUUGAACGUUCGAUCUCAAAUCAGGUAGGACUACCCGCUGAACUUAA
rnacentral:misc_RNA from 1 species